rnacentral:tRNA from 1 species
UUUAAAAAUCGUGAGGGUUCAAGUCCCUCUAUCCCCA